UCGUGGACUAUUGCACACUUUUUUGGGGUCCUGAAGUGAUUUCCAUGAUUGACGAACCCCGGGGUGCGUUUAUGUCCCGUUUCGUGGACUAUUACUCAUUGUUUUGGGGUCCUGAAGUGAUUUGCACGAUUGACGAACGCCGGGGCGCGUUUAUGUGUCGGUCAUCAACACUCACAAUUGUGGCCGAUCCUGGUAUGUUUCGUGCACUAUUACUCACCGUUUUAGGGUGCGAGAGCGAUUUCCACGAUUGACGAUCCCCGGGGUGCGUUUACGUGUCCGUCGUCAACACUCACUAUUUUGGCCAAUUCUGACCCAUUUCGUGGACUAUUACUCAUAGUUUUGGGGUCCCGAAACGAUUUCCAUAGUUGUUGAACCCCAAGGUGCGCUUACGUGUCGGUCAUGAACACUCACAGUUCUGGCCGAUUCUGGCCCGUUUCAUGGACUAUUACUCACUGUUUUGGGGGUGCGAGAGCGAUUUCCACGAAUGACGAUCCCCGGGGUGCGUUUACAUGUCCGUCGUCAACACUCACAGUUUUGGCCGAUUCUGACCCCUUUCGUGGACUAUUACUCACCGUUUUGGGGUCCCG